UCCAUGUUUUUGUCCAUAAGAAAACUGUGAAACUAGGGUUGAGCAUAAAACUCGAAAUCCAAACACCCAUCCCAAAAACGAUCCAAAAAAUUCGAAUUCUUCUACAUGAAUUAUCCGGUCCAAACCAAAAAACAAA
rnacentral:sRNA from 1 species